CACGUAGGGGGCGAGCGUUGUCCGGAUUUAUUGGGCGUAAAGAGCUCGUAGGCGGCUCAGUAAGUCAGGUGUGAAAACUCCAGGCUCAACCUGGAGACGCCACUUGAUGCUGCUGUGGCUAGAGUCCGGUAGGGGAGCAUGGAAUUCCUGGUGUAGCGGUGAAAUGUGCAGAUAUCAGGAAGAACACCUAUGGCGAAAGCAGCUCUCUGGGACGGUACUGACGCUGAGACGCGAAAGCGUGGGGAGCGAACAGG
rnacentral:rRNA from 1 species